AACCUGCACAAAAUAAGAAACCCGUAUUUUAUUUUGGCGGGUCAAACUGACAGCACCCUUUAAGUUCCGGGUCACAGGUGACUCGGAUUUCAAUCGCUGUUGCUGCUGUCGCUGUGGCCAGCUGCUCGUCUCGGCGUCUUCUAAACGUAUAGAAGAAUACGGCUGGAUCGAGGCUUACUAAAAGGGCCGAAGGAUUAAAUUGGGUGUUUCCUGCCGACCGCUCGACGGUCAGGUUUUUUCCACCCCCUGUGUCACGUCAGGAUGGCGAGCUACCGGAUCACCGCAGCUUCGCGGUAGGAUUUAAAUGAACCAAGCUGUUUUCUCAUUCUGGACCUAUUUGCUCUGGAUCAUGGACAAAAA